rnacentral:rRNA from 1 species
UGGGGAAUAUUGCACAAUGGGCGAAAGCCUGAUGCAGCAACGCCGCGUGAGUGAUGAAGGCCUUCGGGUUGUAAAGCUCUGUCUUUUGGGACGAUAAUGACGGUACCAAAGGAGGAAGCCACGGCUAACUACGUGCCAGCAGCCGCGGUAAUACGUAGGUGGCAAGCGUUGUCCGGAUUUACUGGGCGUAAAGGAUGCGUAGGCGGAUUUUUAAGUGAGAUGUGAAAUACCCGGGCUUAACUUGGGUGCUGCAUUUCAAACUGGGAAUCUAGAGUGCGGGAGAGGAGAAUGGAAUUCCUAGUGUAGCGGUGAAAGUGCGUAGAGAUUAGGAAGAACACCAGUGGCGAAGGCGAUUCUCUGGACCGUAACUGACGCUGAGGCAUGAAAGCGUGGGUAGCAAACAGGAUUAGAUACCCUGGUAGUCCACGCCGUAAACGAUGAGUACUAGGUGUAGGAGGUAUCGACCCCUUCUGUGCCGCAGUUAACACAAUCAAGUACUCCGCCUGGGAAGUACGAUCGCAAGAUUAAAACUU